rnacentral:rRNA from 1 species
GACGAACGCUGGCGGCAUGCUUAACACAUGCAAGUCGAACGGCAGCGCCCGUCCUUGCUGGUGUGCUCGAGUGGCGAACGGGUGAGUAACACAUGAGUACCCUGCCCUUGGCUGUGGGUUACCUUCCGAAAACUGGGGCUAUUACCCAUUCGAAGCUCCGACUACAGGGUGGGGGUUGGGAGGUUUCGGCGGUUGGGGUUGGACUCGGGGGUUAUCAGCUUGGUGGUGGGGGAGUGGCAUACCGAGGGUGUGACGGAUAGGCGGCCUGAGAGGGUGAACGGCGACAUUGGGACUGCGAUACGGCCCAGACGCGUACGGGAGGCAACAGGGGGGAAUAUUGCCCAAUAAGGGGAAGCCUGAGGAGGCAACGCCGCGUGUGGGAUGACGGCCUUCGGGUUGUGAACUGCUUUGGCCUGAGACGAAGCGUGAGUGACCGGAAUGGGUAAAGAAGGACCGGCUAACUACGUG